GCGCUGUAGCGACCUCCGCGGAGUCGGCGUCGGCGUCGGCGUCGGCGGAGAGGCGUCGUUGUUAGAGGCGGUGGACGAGGCGGAGGAGGGAAAGAGAGUGCGCGAAGGGCGGGGAAGGGCGAGAGAGGGCGAGAGAGGUGUCGUCGUCGGAGAUGGUGGAGGAGGGUCGGAAAGGGAAAAAAAAAUGGUUGCGUUGCGGCCUCGGCGGGGUCGGAGGAAAGGAAGGUGGGGGGGUGUGCGAGCGAGGGUGAGGGUAUGAGGAUGAGAGGCGAGGUGGGACGUUUCCUCCUUAGGCUCUGCCUUUGCUGUCUUCUUCGGAGAGGAAAAAAAUGAACGAGAGAAAAAAAAGGAGAGAAAAAGUAAUAAGGGUAUUUUGGUCAGUUUGCUGAAAAUUCGGACCAAAUCUGCAAAAUUAAAAAAGGUG
rnacentral:lncRNA from 1 species